rnacentral:rRNA from 1 species
AGAGUUUGAUCCUGGCUCAGAACGAACGCUGGCGGCAGGCCUAACACAUGCAAGUCGAGCGCGACCUUCGGGUUGAGCGGCGGACGGGUUAGUAACGCGUGGGAAUAUACCCGGUACUAAGGAAUAGCCUCUGGAAACGGAGAGUAAUACCUUAUACGCCCUUCGGGGGAAAGAUUCAUCGGUAUCGGAUUAGCCCGCGUUAGAUUAGAUAGUUGGUGGGGUAACGGCCUACCAAGUCUACGAUCUAUAGCUGGUUUUAGAGGAUGAUCAGCAACACUGGGACUGAGACACGGCCCAGACUCCUACGGGAGGCAGCAGUGGGGAAUCUUGGACAAUGGGCGCAAGCCUGAUCCAGCCAUGCCGCGUGAGUGAUGAAGGCCUUAGGGUCGUAAAGCUCUUUCGCCAGAGAUGAUAAUGACAGUAUCUGGUAAAGAAACCCCGGCUAACUCCGUGCCAGCAGCCGCGGUAAUACGGAGGGGGUUAGCGUUGUUCGGAAUUACUGGGCGUAAAGCGCGCGUAGGCGGAUUGGAAAGCUAGAGGUGAAAUCCCGGGGGCUCAACCCCGGAACUGCCUUUAGAACUCCCAGUCUAGAGUUCGAGAGAGGUGAGUGGAAUUUCCGAGUGUAGAGGUGAAAUUCGUAGAUAUUCGGAGGAACACCAGUGGCGAAGGCGGCUCACUGGCUCGAUACUGACGCUGAGGUGC